rnacentral:rRNA from 1 species
AACGUAGGACGCAAGCGUUAUCCGGAGUUACUGGGCGUAAAGCGCGGGCAGGCGGCUCGCUACGUCUGAUGUGAAAUCUCCUCGCUCAACGGGGAGAGGCCAUUGGAAACGGUCGAGCUGGAGGGCAGUAGAGGUAGGCGGAAUUCCGGGUGGAGUGGUGAAAUGCGUAGAGAUCCGGAGGAACACCAGAGGCGAAGGCGGCCUACUGGGCUGCACCUGACGCUGAGCCGCGAAAGCCAGGGGAGCGAACGGG